GCACCUGUAGUUCAACGGAUAGAACACUUGGUUGCGGACCAAGAGACUUGGAGGUUCGAUUCCUCCCAGGUGCA
rnacentral:tRNA from 1 species